AGUAUCAUUAAAGCUUGAAGUGUUGAAAUAAGUGGCCUGGGACUGGCUUCCACGGUGAUAAAAGAUUCAUCUGGUAGCACCAGAGUAAAAGAAGUCUCACUAAACACUGGCCGGGCAGCUGCUGCUCGGUGUGAGCAUCCCGGGGAUGCAAGCGUGGGGGAGCAAAACAGUGGAUUUAAAUCUCCUUGCACAAGCUUGAGAGCAACACAAUCUAUCAGGAAAGAAAGAAAGAAAAAAACCGAACCUGACAAAAAAGAAGAAAAAGAAGAAGAAAAAAAAUCAUGAAAACCAUCCAGCCAAAAAUGCACAAUUCUAUCUCUUGGGCAAUCUUCACGGGGCUGGCUGCUCUGUGUCUCUUCCAAGGUAAGAGCUUGCUAUUGAUUUGCCUUCGGUAGACCCAGGAAUUGUACAGUGUGCUUUAUAAGAUUUGCAGACUCCCCGAGUCGGCUGUGCUGCGCUGUUUGCAGGUGGAGGAGAGAGCGUUUAGACAGCAUGGCUGGGACUUCAUUCUCCCGACUAGGCUGUGAGAAUAUUGAUUUGAUUCUGGCUGCUACCGGAAUGGGGGAAUAUGUAUGUGCAUAAGUAAAAUGUGUUUGGUGCUCCUGUUAGGACUGUGCUUGUGUGCAAGGCUCCCUGGCUUCAUGCACAUUCUUGCACACAUACACAACGGAGCACACAUGUAAGCAGGGGGAAAUGACAGAUUCGGAGGGCAACAGGGUUGCUAAUGUGUUGCUUAUGCGACUGGGAAGAAAUUACAAGAGGAAACUUUAAAUAUCGGCCAGCGAACUUGCAAAGCUUUUAAAAGGAGCAAAGGGGAAAAUGCAGGCUAGAAAGAAUCAGGUGCUUCCUGUGAGGUUCUGGUCAGCGAUCCAGCUGCAAGGGAUGAGUCAA
rnacentral:lncRNA from 1 species